UAGACCCGAAACCAGGUGAUCUACCCAUGUCCAGGAUGAAGGUAAGGUAAUACUUACUGGAGGUCCGAACCCACGCACGUUGAAAAGUGCGGGGAUGAGGUGUGGGUAGCGGAGAAAUUCCAAUCGAACUUGGAGAUAGCUGGUUCUCUCCGAAAUAGCUUUAGGGCUAGCCUCGAGGUAAAGAGUCAUGGAGGUAGAGCACUGUUUGGACUAGGGGCCCUUCUCGGGUUACCGAAUUCAGAUAAACUCCGAAUGCCAUGUACUUAUACUCGGGAGUCAGACUGCGAGUGAUAAGAUCCGUAGUCGAAAGGGAAACAGCCCAGACCACCAGUUAAGGUCCCCAAAUAUAUGUUAAGUGGAAAAGGAUGUGGGGUUGCUUAGACAACCAGGAUGUUGGCUUAGAAGCAGCCACCAUUGAAAGAGUGCGUAAUAGCUCACUGGUCGAGUGACCCCGCGCCGAAAAUGUACCGGGGCUAAACAUAUUACCGAAACUGUGGAUGAACCUCUUUAGAGGUUCGUGGUAGGAGAGCGUUCUAAGGGCGGUGAAGUCAGACCGGAAGGACUGGUGGAGCGCUUAGAAGUGAGAAUGCCGGUAUGAGUAGCGAAAGAAGGGUGAGAAUCCCUUCCACCGAAUAUCUAAGGUUUCCUGAGGAAGGCUCGUCCGCUCAGGGUUAGUCGGGACCUAAGCCGAGGCCGAUAGGCGUAGGCGAUGGACAACAGGUAGAGAUUCCUGUACCAGUGCUAAUUGUUUAACCGAUGGGGUGACACAGAAGGAUAGGGAAUCGCACGAAUGGAAAUGUGCGUCCAAGCAGUGAGUGUGAG
rnacentral:rRNA from 1 species